UUCCGUAGGGUGAACCUGCGGAAGGAUCAUUAAUGAAUUCACUAUGGAGUUGUUGCUGGCCUCUAGGGGCAUGUGCACGCUUCACUAGUCUUUCAACCACCUGUGAACUUUUGAUAGAUCUGUGAAGUCGUCCUUCAAGUCGUCAGACUUGGUUUGCUGGGAUUUAAACGUCUCGGUGUGACAACGCAGUCUAUUUACUUAACACACCCCAAAUGUAUGUCUACGAAUGUCAUUUAAUGGGCCUUGUGCCUAUAAACCAUAAUACAACUUUCAACAACGGAUCUCUUGGCUCUCGCAUCGAUGAAGAACGCAGCGAAAUGCGAUAAGUAAUGUGAAUUGCAAAAUUCAGUGAAUCAUCCAAUCUUUGAACGCACCUUGCGCCCCUUGGUAUUCCCAGGGGCAUGCCUGUUUGAAUGUCAUUAAAUUCUCAAACUCACAUUUAUUUGUGAUGUUUGGAUUGUUGGGGGUUGCUGGCUGUAACAAGUCGGCUCCUCUUAAAUGCAUUAACAAGACUUCUCAUUGCCUCUGCGCAUGAUGUGAUAAUUAUCACUCAUCAAUAGCACGCAUGAAUAGAGUGCAGCUCUCUAAUCGUCCGCAAGGACAAUUUGACAAUUUGACCUCAAAUCACGUAAGACUACCCGCUGAACUUAAUCAUAUCAAUAACCCGGAGG
rnacentral:rRNA from 1 species